rnacentral:rRNA from 1 species
AUUGAACGCUGGCGGCAUGCCUUACACAUGCAAGUCGAACGGUAACGGGCCUUCGGGUGCCGACGAGUGGCCAACGGGUGAGUAAUGCAUCGGAACGUACCUUUCAGUGGGGGAUAACGUAGCGAAAGUUACGCUAAUACUACAUAUUCCGUUAGCAGGAAAGCAGGGGACCGAAAGACCUUGCGCUUAUGGAGCGGCCGAUGUCAGAUUAGCUAGUUGGUGAGGUAAAGGGUCACCAAGGCGACGAUCUGUAGCGGGUCUGAGAGGAUGAUCCGCCACACUGGAACUGAGACACGGUCCAGACUCCUACGGGAGGCAGCAGUGGGGAAUUUUGGACAAUGGGGGCAACCCUGAUCCAGCCAUGCCGCGUGAGUGAAGAAGGCCUUCGGGUUGUAAAGCUCUUUCGGCCGGGAAGAAAUCGUAUGGGCUAAUACCCUGUGCGGAUGACGGUACCGGCAUAAGAAGCACCGGCUAACUACGUGCCAGCCGCCGCCGUAAAAC